AAUCUGGAGACAGGGCACAUUUCCCAGGGAGUGAGCCGGGCAAGCCAGACCCCUGGGAUCAAAGCCUGCAAACGAUUACAGGCCAUGCCAGCGGCUGCCCUGCAGACAGGGGUUGGAUGGGUCCUAUUGAUCAAUGAUGGUUAGAAGGGACAUCUCCCCUCCACAUCCUCCCUUGUGCCCCAGGAAUUCUAGCAACGGGGCAAGAUGGAGCUGCCCGAGAUGUCCAAUGCUCAGCCAUUCCUUGGCCCUGUACCUCUGAGUCUCUUUCUCUCUCAGCACCACCUCCGUGACGCCCGCCAGCUGGUCAGCACACUACCCCUUCUCCAGCUGGCCCACCACAGGGUGAAGCUGAAGGGCGUGAGGUCACACGACCGCAGGUGUUUCACGAUGAGCUGCAGGGAAAGGCACAGGCUGAGUGAACGUCUGCAGCACAAGAUCCAGGCCCUCCCAGGGCAGCUGUUGCAGAGACUGGAGCAGAGAGAAGCAGGGAAGUAAAUAGCAGGGGAGCUGGCGUACACGAGGCAGAGGGACAAGUGGAUCCCCCAUCUGGAGCCAGGUGCUGUUGGUAUUCGGGGUCCCUUUACCCAGGUGAUACUGAUCCCCCUGCAAUUAGACAUGGGUCUCACCUGGACCUUGGGCUGCCCUUCCCCAAAGAAUCCUUCCUCCCACCUGUGCUCCCCAACACAUGUACUGAGCAGGGCUCUGGAGGGAACGCCUCCUCCCUCCCCCUCUGGAGGGGCCCCAGCUGCCCCCCAACACCCCGCUGGCUCGCCAAGGGCUGAGCUGUUCAUCCCCACUCCAGCCAAUCUCUGUUUCUGUGGCAGGGCGAGUUGUGGCCUGGCCGUGUGGCUGUCCCGAAUCCAUGCUUUCCUCCCUCUGCACCAAAUGCUAUUUAACGCUCUGGGCCAGAUCCUCAGCUGGUGUAAACUGGGGGUAGGUUCCAGCUCCCUGUGCCAAGAAGCCAGGGUAAUUCUGUACAGUCUCACAGACACCCACCUCUACAGCUGUCCUCCCUGCCAACCCCACUGCAGAGUUAACUGAGUAGCCACUUGUCACCAGCCCUUUGGAAAAUAAACCGAGGGGCUGGAUUCGGCUGGACACGCAGCUCUCUGCAUCGGUCCAGGGUCCAGCUACUCAGCAGGGGAGUGGCUGAGUUUCCCAGCCAAGGAGGCAGGUGGAAGCUGCAGCUUUGUCCAUGCCUCACUAAGCUCUGUCCGGAUAGCGGAGCUUUCUGCCGCCUCAGUCCCCCUCAGCUUCACCAGGGCUGGGCGCUGAAUCAUGGCACUGGUGAUACACGUGCUGAUGGUCUCAGCCUCUUGUUCCUUAGAGAGGCGAGGCUCGAAUUUCCUGAUUGGAAGGAAGGGAGCAGACGGGGCCAUUAGAACAGAGACAGGUCCCAGCAUGAGCAAGGUUGGGUUUGCUGGCACGAGGGACAGCUCCCUCCCUAAGCAGCAGAGCUCCAGGGGGCAUCUCCAGCACAGCCACUGCCUAGGGAAUGGUCCGGUCUGGAGAUGCCUAUGCCCCCAGGGCCCGGCAUGGGCUCUGCUGGUGAAGCUGCUCUCUGGGGAUGAUCCUGGGCCCUGCUCUGUGGCUGCACCCAUUCACAGAACUUCAUGCUGAUGGGAGGGAUUCCCUCUUACCAGGCAAUAUGCAGAGAUGGGGUCUGGAUAAAGUGACCUGGAGGCCGAGGAGGAUAUGGCCCGUUAGUGAGCCACCGGGGAGGAGCAUCCUCCAGUUCUUCUUGCAGCUCCUCCCUCCCCCAUUUCCUCUCCCUCCAUCUGCUCCUCCCCAGCUGCUGGGCUCCGCAGGUGAGUCAGGCCUCAGGGACGUACCGUAAGUAUGAGAUGGCCAGCAGGGCAUGCUGGUGAUGGGGUUCUGCAGCCGGGCCCGGUCUUUGCCUCUGAGCAUCUCCUGCAGCACAAAGCAGAGAGUCAAAGGCAAAAGAAUUUGGGGAGCUGGGUUACUUAGCAAGACGUGGAAUCUCCAAAUGCUGUUUGAUGCCCCCACUAACCCUCAGCCCCAGCGUGCAGUGCACUGGGGCCCGGAGCUGGGAAGAUGGCCUGGGAGUGGCCCCAUGGCCAGAAUGCAGGGGACAUUCACAAGACAGUUCCUAUUUUGCCAUUCCUGAUGGCACAUCUGGAAACUUCAGCAUCUGCCAUGGAGCAGGGAAGGGGGAUCUGGGCAGAGGCAAUUUUGUGACAAGGAGCAUUAGAGUCCUUAACAGCUGAAGUGUGAAAUUGACAUGAACUGGGAUCGUAUAGAUCAUUGUUGCAACCAAAGUCCUGUAGUGGCACCAAAUCUUGUAUAAAGUGGGUCAAAUAGGGUGUCUAAGACAAGGUUAUGAUUUGCUGG